rnacentral:rRNA from 1 species
CCUACGGGAGGCAGCAGUGAGGAAUAUUGGUCAAUGGACGAGAGUCUGAACCAGCCAAGUAGCGUGAAGGAUGACUGCCCUAUGGGUUGUAAACUUCUUUUAUAUGGGAAUAAAACAGGGUAUGCAUACCCUCUUGUAUGUACCAUAUGAAUAAGGAUCGGCUAACUCCGUGCCAGCAGCCGCGGUAAUACGGAGGAUCCGAGCGUUAUCCGGCUUUAUUGGGUUUAAAGGGAGCGUAGGUGGAUUGUUAAGUCAGUUGUGAAAGUUUGCGGCUCAACCGUAAAAUUGCAGUUGAAACUGGCAGUCGUGAGUACAGUAGAGGUAGGCGGAAUUCGUGGUGUAGCGGUGAAAUGCUUAGAUAUCACGAAGAACCCCGAUUGCGAAGGCAGCUCACUGGACUGCAACUGACACUGAUGCUCGAAAGUGUGGGUAUCAAACAGGAUUAGAUACCCCGGUAGUC